GGGAAUAUGGCUUAGUGGUAAAGUACUUGCCUAGCAUACAUGAAGCCCUGGGUUCAACUCCGUAAUACCA
rnacentral:tRNA from 1 species